rnacentral:rRNA from 1 species
GAUGAACGCUGGCGGCGUGCCUAAUACAUGCAAGUCGAGCGAACAGACGAGGAGCUUGCUCCUCUGACGUUAGCGGCGGACGGGUGAGUAACACGUGGAUAACCUACCUAUAAGACUGGGAUAACUUCGGGAAACCGGAGCUAAUACCGGAUAAUAUAUUGAACCGCAUGGUUCAAUAGUGAAAGACGGUUUUGCUGUCACUUAUAGAUGGAUCCGCGCCGCAUUAGCUAGUUGGUAAGGUAACGGCUUACCAAGGCAACGAUGCGUAGCCGACCUGAGAGGGUGAUCGGCCACCCUGGCACUGAGACACGGCCCAGACUCCUACGGGAGGCAGCAGUAGGGAAUCUUCCGCAAUGGGCGAAAGCCUGACGGAGCAACGCCGCGUGAGUGAUGAAGGUCUUCGGAUCGUAAAGCUCUGUUAUUAGGGAAGAACAAAUGUGUAAGUAACUAUGCACGUCUUGACGGUACCUAAUCAGAAAGCCACGGCUAACUACGUG